rnacentral:rRNA from 1 species
GACGAACGCUGGCGGCGUGCUUAACACGUGCAAGUCGAACGGUAAGGCCCUUCGGGGUACACGAGUGGCGAACGGGUGAGUAACACGUGGGUGAUCUGCCCUGCACUUCGGGAUAAGCCUGGGAAACUGGGUCUAAUACCGGAUAGGACUCCGGACUGCAUGGUCUGGGGUGGAAAGCUUUUGCGGUGUGGGAUGGGCCCGCGGCCUAUCAGCUUGUUGGUGGGGUGAUGGCCUACCAAGGCGACUACGGGUAGCCGGCCUGAGAGGGUGACCGGACACACUGGGACUGAGAUACGGCCCAGACUCCUACGGGAGGCAGAAGUGGGGAAUAUUGCACAAUGGGCGCAAGCCUGAUGCAGCGACGCCGCGUGAGGGAUGACGGCCUUCGGGUUGUAAACCUCUUUCAGCAUCGACGAAGCGAAAGUGACGGUAGGUGCAGAAGAAGGACCGGCCAACUACGUGCCAGCAGCCGCGGUAA